ACCACCAUUAUCCCGUCGCUAUGACAAUUUAAUGUGGCGAGAAAACCGGACCAAGCACUAUAUUAUGGGCAGUAUAUUGAAGGGUGCCGGACCAAACGGUGGUGGCUGGAGGUUAUGGAGUUUUCGACUGUAGUUAAAACCAAAAAGUGUAACUCAUUUCUUCUUCAAUUGAUUGCGCCAAUUUGUUGACCCAAAAAAAUGCGUCAACGGAAUCCGACGUUGCCCCUUCCAAGUAGACAUCAUCUGUACAACAUAAUUCGGAGAUUGAUCUUUGGUCCAAAUAAGGCAUCAUGCCUUUUAUCGACAUUCUUGAUACGAGCCCCUGCAUUAACACUCUGUAUCAAAAUGCUUAUGAGGAUUCGAGAAGAAGACUUCCUUGUAUCGGAAUGCUGUAUUGAUAGUGGGACCUGUCCUCACAAUUUUCGUUUGUAUUUUUUUGU